rnacentral:rRNA from 1 species
CCUACGGGUGGCAGCAGUGAGGAAUAUUGGUCAAUGGACGAGAGUCUGAACCAGCCAAGUAGCGUGAAGGAUGACUGCCCUAUGGGUUGUAAACUUCUUUUAUAUGGGAGUAAAAUGUUCCACGUGUGGGAUUUUGUAUGUACCAUAUGAAUACGGAUCGGCUAACUCCGUGCCAGCAGCCGCGGUAAUACGGAGGAUCCGAGCGUUCUCCGGAUUUAUUGGGUUUAAAGGUAGCGUAGGGGGAUUGUUAAGUCAGUUGUGAAAGUUUGCGGCGUAACCGUAAAAUUGCAGUUGAAACUUGCAGUCUAGAGUACAGUAGAGGUGGGCGGAAUUCGUGGUGUAGCGGUGAAAUGCUUAGAUAUCACGAAGAACUCCGAUUGCGAAGGCAGCUUACUGGACUUCAACUGACACUGAGGGUCGAAAGUGUGGGUAUCAAACAGGAUUAGAUACCCUUGUAGUC